AGUGAACGCUGGCGGUAGGCCUAACACAUGCAAGUCGAGCGGCAGCACAGUAAGAGCUUGCUCUUACAGGUGGCGAGUGGCGGACGGGUGAGGAAUACAUCGGAAUCUACUUUUUCGUGGGGGAUAACGUAGGGAAACUUACGCUAAUACCGCAUACGACCUACGGGUGAAAGCAGGGGAUCUUCGGACCUUGCGCGAUUGAAUGAGCCGAUGUCGGAUUAGCUAGUUGGCGGGGUAAAGGCCCACCAAGGCGACGAUCCGUAGCUGGUCUGAGAGGAUGAUCAGCCACACUGGAACUGAGACACGGUCCAGACUCCUACGGGAGGCAGCAGUGGGGAAUAUUGGACAAUGGGCGCAAGCCUGAUCCAGCCAUACCGCGUGGGUGAAGAAGGCCUUCGGGUUGUAAAGCCCUUUUGUUGGGAAAGAAAAGCAGCAGGUUAAUACCCCGCUGUUCUGACGGUACCCAAAGAAUAAGCACCGGCUAACUUCGUG
rnacentral:rRNA from 1 species